rnacentral:rRNA from 1 species
UACGUAGGGUCCGAGCGUUGUCCGGAAUUACUGGGCGUAAAGAGCUCGUAGGUGGUUUGUCGCGUUGUUCGUGAAAACUCACAGCUUAACUGUGGGCGUGCGGGCGAUACGGGCAGACUGGAGUACUGCAGGGGAGACUGGAAUUCCCGGUGUAGCGGUGAAAUGCGCAGAUAUCGGGAAGAACACCCGUGGCGAAGGCGGUUCUCUGGGACGGUACUGACGCUGAGACGCGAAAGCGUGGGGAGCGAACAGG